rnacentral:rRNA from 1 species
GACGGGGGGGGCAAGUGUUCUUCGGAAUGACUGGGCGUAAAGGGCUCGUAGGCGGCCAACUAAGUCAUACGUGAAAUCCCUCGGCUUAACCGGGGAACUGCGUCUGAUACUGGAUGGCUUGAGUUCGGGAGAGGGAUGCGGAAUUCCAGGUGUAGCGGUGAAAUGCGUAGAUAUCUGGAGGAACACCGGUGGCGAAGGCGGCAUCCUGGACCGACACUGACGCUGAGGAGCGAAAGCGUGGGGAGCAAACAGG